rnacentral:lncRNA from 1 species
AAGAAGGCCAAGCCCUGCCUGCCUACCAUUCGGAGGCUUGGUACCCACCCAACAACCAUAACUAAUGCUGACAAGGUACAGAGUGUGGCCUGGGUUCUAGUUACACCCGGUAAUCUGGGGACUGUUGACAUACAGCAGCAGCUUUCAGAGACCUCGGGAGAAAGGGGACAGGAAGGGCAGUUUCACACAGGCUCAUUCUCUCAGCACUUUAUUAGCCAGUGUGCCUCUUCAAAGGGCUCCCUUGAGGCUGUGUCAGAACCCAGCCCAAUAGGUGUCCCCUUCUCCAGGUCAUGCCAGCGACAAGCCAACAGCCUGCGUAGGUGGCUGGAGCUAAGCCAGGAGGAGCCAAGCUGUGAGGACCUCCAUCUAGAAGAGCAGGUGAAAACAGAACUGGAGGAGGUAAGUAAGGUAAGGCCCAGGUCGGCCCAGCUUCCUUGUCCCUCCCACUUCUCCCUCCCUCCCUCCCCAGGUGGAACUACAGAUCCAGCAGCUGGCUAAGGAGCUCGAGGCCCAGCGGCAGCCUGUCGGUACAUGCAUUGCUCGUGUUCGGGCCCUGAGACGGGCUCUGUGCUAGUGGGCUUGCCCCUAGGGUAAGGAUACCCAACCCUCAACAACAAAACACAAAGCUACAAUAGUUUUUUGUUUAAUCUCAAAAUGUCUUGCAAUUAAAUGAAUUACUGUUC